UGGGGAAUUUUGGACAAUGGGCGAAAGCCUGAUCCAGCAAUGCCGCGUGUGUGAAGAAGGCCUUCGGGUUGUAAAGCACUUUUGUCCGGAAAGAAAUCCUUGGCUCUAAUACAGUCGGGGGAUGACGGUACCGGAAGAAUAAGCACCGGCUAACUACGUGCCAGCAGCCGCGGUAAUACGUAGGGUGCAAGCGUUAAUCGGAAUUACUGGGCGUAAAGCGUGCGCAGGCGGUUUGCUAAGACCGAUGUGAAAUCCCCGGGCUCAACCUGGGAACUGCAUUGGUGACUGGCAGGCUAGAGUAUGGCAGAGGGGGGUAGAAUUCCACGUGUAGCAGUGAAAUGCGUAGAGAUGUGGAGGAAUACCGAUGGCGAAGGCAGCCCCCUGGGCCAAUACUGACGCUCAUGCACGAAAGCGUGGGGAGCAAACAGGAUUAGAUACCCUGGUAGUCACGCCCUAAACGAUGUCAACUAGUUGUUGGGGAUUCAUUUCCUUAGUAACGUAGCUAACGCGUGAAGUUGACCGCCUGGGGAGUACGGUCGCAAGAUUAAAACUAAAUGAAUUGACGGGGUCAUAGCUGUUUCCU
rnacentral:rRNA from 1 species